AGCGGGGAGGGGACUGUAGCGUUGCUGCUGCUCUCGCUUCGCUCUGUAUCGCAUCGACUCCAUCGUCAUCUGAUGGCAGGCGGACGUGUAGGCAACCGGUGUUUUGGGUUCCACCUGUACUCUCUUGUGCUUUCUUCCUUAUAAUCUUCCAGUGAGUACAUCCUCACUCACAUACACAGUCACAUCCACACGAGAGUAGGUUCAUCUGCCACUGCAGUGCCGAGAAGCGAUGCCGCCCAAGGCAACACUCCCGUCUUGUUCCCCAUCCCGCGCUGUUGCGACGCGUCCUCAGCGCAGCUCUCUCAUGGUUCGCGCCGGCGGCGGCGGAGCACCCCCAUCUGUUGUUCAGCCCUCUCUUGCUCGCUGCAGUCUCACCACUGCAAAGAAAGCAGCGUCUACGCGUGAUGGUGGCACCCUUUUUAGCGGCGGCGCACCAACAUAUGGCGAAAUUGUCGAGUCGGACAUGGUGCAUGACGAGAUCAGGGAGCUGAGCACCCAGGUGAAGUCCAUGAUCGCGCAGCACCUCCCUCGUGACGGUACGUCAAAGGAGCAGGUGAUGUGGGGUGUGCGCCAGUUCGGUCCGUCGAAGGAAUCGCGGCGCGUGCUGAACAAGGAGAACGAUGCUGCGCGCCUGGCGUGGGAGACGGGCGUGUACUGCGUCUGGCGCUGCCGCGAGAAGCCGCGGCUGAGUGGGGCGAACGGGGACUUCUGCUGCCGCAUCGGCUACCGACACGUUUGCUUCUGCGGCCACCCGCUCGCGGCGCACACCACGCCGGCCCGUGCCGCCAACUCUUCUGCCGCCGCGCAGGCGAGUCGUGGACGUGACGGGGAGGCUGUGGGGAACGACGGCGACAAGGGACACGCGCCUUCGUGUGGCUCCUCUACGGCACCUGCGACGGAUGCGCAGCUGGCCCAGUGGAAGGGGCGUUGCGAGGAGGUCGGCUGCUCGUGUGCUCGGUACCGGUACGUGCCAAACACGCCGCUCGAGAUUGGUGAGGGCUGGCUCACGCGGCGAGCGAACUGGAAGGCGUCAGAGUGGAGCGCCAAGUGCCGCUGCGGCCACGGCCACAAGGUGCACGAUCCCAAGUCGAUGCGGUGCAAGAGCUGCGGUGGCUGCUCCGGCUUCACAUCCGCCUUUCUGUGCGUCGUUUGCGAUCUACCAUGGGAGGCGCACGAUACAGUUUGGGAAAGCGAGGGAAUGCGGGUAGGCGACGGCCAUCCGGUCUGUGAAGCGUAUGCGCCGUUGGCCGGCAUCGACGGUGACGUCCGUGAGGCGGUGCUCACCGAUGCGACCAUGGGCGGCCGCAUCGAACCGUCCGCUACGUACCUUGCCCUUAAGCAACGCUCCAGUGGUUCAUGUGCUCUUGCGGACACGACGAUGACGGCACCGACGGCCUCCAGCGCGCCCCGCAGUAUUGCGGGCGGACGACCCUCCUCGACUGCCGCUGCAAAGAAUCGGGAGGGAGGGUCCUCUGCAGGCGCGCUGCCCGCCAUCACCGCCUCCCCUGCCGCUGAUCCGAUCCUUGACGCGGAGUAUUGCCGCUUCUGCGCCACCGUCUACAAGCGUCCAGAGUCGAAGUUCUGUGCUCAGUGCGGCCAGCCACGCCCACAGCGGCCGGCCAACCUCCGGUAGUGCGGUUGGCACUUGACAGAAGCUGAUGGGAGAUAGAGAGGAAGCCAUGCGCGAGGCUGGUGGUGGGUCAAGGCCGUUACGCGUUCUCGCACCCAAUUCUGCUCAGCUUCCGGCGUGUAUCUUGCUAUCUUGUGUGGCCGUGAUUUUGGCCCGCAUACGCGAGUAUCCGCGUGCCCGUGAUGUACAGUCGAUUCUGCGUUCGUGCGCAUCUCUCUUCAAUUCGUGAUUGCGCAGCUGCUCUCCCCUCCUCCCUCCCCCGUCGCGGUAGCUUGCAUCUCUCGCGCGAUGACUGUCAUUUCUGUUGCUUCGCUCCUUUAAGAGGGGGCGGCCCACGAUACACGUGUGUGUCCAGCACGCCCCUCUCCGAUCUCUUUAUUUUGAUUCGCACGUGUGCGCUCGCGUUUGCGUUGGCCAAAUGUGCUGAGGUGCAGCACUGAGGAUGUGCGUGCUUGUGCUAAGCGUGCUGUGUGCCUCUGUAUGUGCUGGUGUGUGUGUGUGUGUGCAUGCCUCUCACCUACUCAGUUGCAUCCACCUUUCAGCUACAUUUUAAGUGCCAUUCUCUGCUGCUCGGUGCGGCGGUCGCUCUGUGAGUGCUCCUCCUCCUCUCUGAAAUCACAUCGAUCCACCAGGUGCGCCUUUCAGAUCUUGCGCUGUAAAAUGGCAACUAUCCUCUCUGUGUGCGUGUGUGCGCGGCUGCUUCGUACCAUGAAAGAGAGAGGGCGAUGCGUGCGUUGGACUUCAGAGAAGCUUCGCUUCUUCGGUCGUCUGCACGCACACACCACAUCACACCAC
rnacentral:misc_RNA from 1 species